AACCAGACAAGGUUUAUAAGGUCAUUGGUGGAGAUCAUAAACUGAUGCUUACAAAGACUAAGGAGAUAGCUCAUAUUCUCCAAGAGGUGGCUGAUACAUAUGUUUGCCUUUGAAGCAUUUAUUAUUAUUAUUUUGGGUGUAACUAUAAAUAAAUUAUCUCAUACUUUCGUGUGGGAAUAGAUUAAGUUUCACCAAAAAAUAAAGUUGUUUAUGUUUUGUUUUAAUUUUACUAAUUUCAAAUAUAAUGUGAGUUUUUAUUUUGGGGAAUGCUACCCCUCUUGUGUAGCCUAUUAUAUUUUUUUAAGU
rnacentral:misc_RNA from 1 species